rnacentral:snoRNA from 14 species
GCUGGCGAUGAUGACACACUUGCCCUCACUGAGAUCCCUUGUGGGGAUUGUUGGUGAGAACAUCUCUGUGCUCACUGUGGGCUGAGCCUCC